ensembl:lncRNA
UCUGGUGACGUGGCGUGGAGGGACAAGCCUCCGAAGGGAGGAGAGAGGAGGAGGGCUGUGGCGAGAAUCCCAGGUCUGGACUGAGCAACAUUAGCAAGGAGCCGCUGCGGCAGGCAGGCCGAGGUGGCCUUUCCGAGAAAGGAACUCUCAAAUCGUUGUGGAACCAUAUUUAUGAAGAAGACAUUGAGGUGCUGAUUAAUAGAACAAUAAAUGUUUCACACACAACAAAAGGUAAGUUAGAACUGGAGUCUGGGGAAGAAGAUCAACUUGAAGCGGGGGGAAAGUCCAGUCUGGUUUAGAAUUAGUAGUACAGACCAACUUGACCCUUUCAUGAUACCUAAAACACUUGUAACUGUUUACAUUUUAAACCCAGAGAACAUUGGUGUUUAUAACAACUUUGCAUACCUGAAGCAAAUCAUAUAGGGAUGUCCUUAGGUUUGUUAUUGUUUGUCUUUUCUUAAUCUAGCAUGUGUUUGGGGAACUGUCGCAGCAGAGUAGAUGUAAUUUUCUUUGACUGAAAGUCCUUGGAGAAUGAAUCUGAGACAAAAGCCCCACCUUCAUGUGACUGAUUAGUUACAUUUGUUGCAUCAGCAUAAUCUUUACCAAGUGUACAGUUAACCACAAGUAAUCCAAGCUACUUAGAAACACUGGAGUUAAAGUACUUAGCCACAGCAACACCCAAGAAGAGAGCAGUUCACCGAGAAUGGUUUAAGAUCUAACCUCAGUACCACUUGUAUCCAAGGCUGUCUUAAUAACAGUAUGAGAAUCCCAAGUUACCAAUAUUUUUUCCAGUUCUUCUAUAUGUAGUGGUAUAUAUUUUGUGAGAAAGCCAGUGCAUUAAUGUCCAGUGCAAAAUGAAUUACCCUUAAACUCAGCAGCUUAAAACAAUAAAAAUGUAUUAUCUCAUGAUUUCCGCAGGUCUAGAGUUCAGGCAUGGGCAUUUGCAGGUGGUUCUGCCUCCACCUGCUCGGGAGGUUGCCAUCAACGUGUCAGCCAGAGCCACAGUUAUCCGAA